CCCCUAGAUGUUCUGGGCCGCACGCGCGCUACACUGAACAGUUCAACAAGUCUUAACCUUGGCCGAUAGGUCUGGGUAAUCUUUGAACGCUGUUCGUGAUUGGGAUAGACCUUUGCAAUUAUGGGUCUUCAACGAGGAAUUCCUAGUAAACGCAAGUCAUCAGCUUGCAUUGAUUACGUCCCUGCCCUUUGUACACACCGCCCGUCGCACCUACCGAUUGAAUGGUCCGGUGAAAUCUCGGGACGGCGGCUUGGUCGCUUGCGUCCGACUGCUGAAACUUGAUUAAACCAUAUCAUUUAGAGGAAGGUGANGUCGUAACA
rnacentral:rRNA from 1 species